AGCUGUGGUAAACAAAGAAGUUUCCAGAAUGUUUUUGACUACAGAGAGUGAUGCAGUAUUGACUCUAAUGCUGAUUGGAGUUGUCUGAUCCUGUAUUUUUGUUCUUUGUCUUUUGUUACACAGAGUGAACAGAUCUUUGGUUUUGCCUUUGCUGGUGACCUGCUCCAGAAGAUCCUCUCUCUCUAUCAUUAUAAGCAAUUCUGUCUAUCCUAUCACUCUCCCGACUCUAUCUAAUUUGACAGCCAUUCCAUCUUGUAUCCCUCUAUCCUCUACUGCUCUAUCUAAUUUGACAGCCAUUCUAUCUUGUAUCCCUCUCUCUCUACUGCUCUAUCUAAUUUGACAGCCAUUCUAUCUUGUAUCCCUCUCUCUCUACUGCUCUAUCUAAUUUGAGAAUCCAAGUUUUCAGAAAUCCAAGUUUUCAGAAUCCAAGUUUUCAGAAAUCCAAGUUACCAGUACUUGAUCUAUCUGUUACAGAAUUCUGAGAGAUCUCUGCUCUCACUGCUCCUUCUUUCCUGUCAUUAAGCUCUCUCACAUUCAGUCAUUUUGCUGGAAAUUACAAGUUGAAUUUACAGUACAGUAGAACUUAUAGUAGAACCUACUUACACAGCCCUACAUUAGUCAUUUUAAUUUUGCAUUAGACUUUGGAAUUAACACUGCUAGUUUGGCUUACUUUGAUACAUUGUAUAAAAUAUCACCUUUUUAUAAGUUUAUUUGUAAUAAGAUAAUCUGGUUCUUUUGUAAUACAUACAUUCAGAUAAAUAAUAAAUUAGAUCCAAAUACA